AUUAAAGCGAUGAAGUAGAUUAGUAGAUUUGAUAGUCAAUUUUUAAGAGACUUGGUGGUGCUGCGAAUCAAGAUAAACUAUCAAUCGAAUUACACUAUGGAGCUUGUCCGGGUCAUUCCGAUAAAGAUGACAGAGCGGCUUUUUAAGCAAUCUGGGUGGUAACGCGGAAAUAAUUUUUCGUCCCUAAU
rnacentral:ncRNA from 1 species